AUGGGAGUAAUAUGACUGCUCUAUUUGUCACCCCAUUGGUCUCCAGGGUUGAUCUGGCUGAUGUGGCUGGCUAGGCAAGUGUCCCCUUCCUCCCUCACCACCCUACGUGUGUCCCUCCCCAAGCUGCACACUCAAUGGAAGAGGAUGACGUUCCUGAGACGGUGCUUUGUUCAAGGGUAUAUGUGUAGCUGCAUUUCUCUGCUAGAACCUCCAAACAGGCUCUCAAGUGAGUUUCCCAUCCACUAAGCAAAUUCACUGCCUUUAUGUUCCUUUUCUUCUAUAUUUAUUAUCAAAAACUAAUGUUUUAU
ensembl:misc_RNA 7SK 7SK RNA